rnacentral:rRNA from 1 species
ACGAACGCUGGCGGCGUGGAUAAGACAUGCAAGUCGAACGAGAGAAUUGCUAGCUUGCUAAUAAUUCUCUAGUGGCGCACGGGUGAGUAACACGUGAGUAACCUGCCCCCGAGAGCGGGAUAGCCCUGGGAAACUGGGAUUAAUACCGCAUAGUAUCGAAAGAUUAAAGCAGCAAUGCGCUUGGGGAUGGGCUCGCGGCCUAUUAGUUAGUUGGUGAGGUAACGGCUCACCAAGGCGAUGACGGGUAGCCGGUCUGAGAGGAUGUCCGGCCACACUGGAACUGAGACACGGUCCAGACACCUACGGGUGGCAGCAGUCGAGAAUCAUUCACAAUGGGGGAAACCCUGAUGGUGCGACGCCGCGUGGGGGAAUGAAGGUCUUCGGAUUGUAAACCCCUGUCAUGUGGGAGCAAAUUAAAAAGAUAGUACCACAAGAGGAAGAGACGGCUAACUCUGUGCCAGCAGCCGCGGUAAUACAGAGGUCUCAAGCGUUGUUCGGAAUCACUGGGCGUAAAGCGUGCGUAGGCUGUUUCGUAAGUCGUGUGUGAAAGGCGCGGGCUCAACCCGCGGACGGCACAUGAUACUGCGAGACUAGAGUAAUGGAGGGGGAACCGGAAUUCUCGGUGUAGCAGUGAAAUGCGUAGAUAUCGAGAGGAACACUCGUGGCGAAGGCGGGUUCCUGGACAUUAACUGACGCUGAGGCACGAAGGCCAGGGGAGCGAAAGGGAUUAGAUACCCCUGUAGUCCUGGCAGUAAACGGUGCACGCUUGGUGUGCGGGGAAUCGACCCCCUGCGUGCCGGAGCUAACGCGUUAAGCGUGCCGCCUGGGGAGUACGGUCGCAAGAUUAGAACUCAAAGAAAUUGACGGGGACCCGCACAAGCGGUGGAGUAUGUGGCUUAAUUCGAUGCAACGCGAAGAACCUUACCUGGGCUUGACAUGUAAUGAACAACAUGUGAAAGCAUGCGACUCUUCGGAGGCGUUACACAGGUGCUGCAUGGCCGUCGUCAGCUCGUGUCGUGAGAUGUUUGGUUAAGUCCAGCAACGAGCGCAACCCCUGUUGCCAGUUACCAGCACGUGAAGGUGGGGACUCUGGCGAGACUGCCCAGAUCAACUGGGAGGAAGGUGGGGACGACGUCAGGUCAGUAUGGCCCUUAUGCCCAGGGCUGCACACGUACUACAAUGCCCAGUACAGAGGGGGCCGAAGCCGCGAGGCGGAGGAAAUCCUGAAAACUGGGCCCAGUUCGGACUGUAGGCUGCAACCCGCCUACACGAAGCCGGAAUCGCUAGUAAUGGCGCAUCAGCUACGGCGCCGUGAAUACGUUCCCGGGUCUUGUACACACCGCCCGUCACAUCAUGGAAGCCGGUCGCACCCGAAGUAUCUGAAGCCAACCGCAAGGAGGCAGGGUCCUAAGGUGAGACUGGUAACUGGGAUG